CCUACGGGUGGCUGCAGUCGAGGAUCUUUGGCAAUGAGCGCAAGCUUGACCAAGCGACGCCGCGUGCGCGAUGAAGGCCUCCGGGUUGUAAAGCGCUUUAGGGGGGGAGAUCUAUCCCCAAAAUAAGCACGGGCUAAGUUCGUGCCAGCAGCCGCGGUAAGACGAACCGUGCGAACGUUGUUCGGAAUCACUGGGCUUAAAGGGAGCGUAGGCGGGCUAUCAAGUCUGGGGUGAAAUGCCGCGGCUCAACCGUGGAACUGCCUUAGAUACUGACGGCCUCGAGGGAGAUAGGGGCAUGCGGAACUGUAGGUGGAGCGGUGAAAUGCGUUGAUAUCUACAGGAACUCCGGUGGCGAAAGCGGCGUGCUGGUCCUUCUGACGCUGAGGCUCGAAAGCUAGGGGAGCAAACGGGAUUAGAUACCCUGGUAGUC
rnacentral:rRNA from 1 species